rnacentral:rRNA from 1 species
UACGUAGGGUGCGAGCGUUGUCCGGAAUUAUUGGGCGUAAAGAGCUCGUAGGCGGUCUGUCGCGUCGGUCGUGAAAACUUGGGGCUUAACCCUGAGCUUGCGGUCGAUACGGGCAUGACUGGAGUUCGGCAGGGGAGACUGGAAUUCCUGGUGUAGCGGUGAAAUGCGCAGAUAUCAGGAGGAACACCGGUGGCGAAGGCGGGUCUCUGGGCAGCAACUGACGCUGAGGAGCGAAAGCGUGGGGAGCGAACAGG